UUGUUGCCAAGCCAAAAAUUCUGUUAAUAGUUAAUAUUUCAUCAAGCUCCAUCAACUUAUGUUUCAAUAAAAUGGUCUGUUUGGUCAAGUCUUUGUUUGGUUAAAUUUGCAGGCUGAAUUAAAUGUAUUCUUGUUAUUUUUUUUUUAGUUGUUUACUUCUUAUUAUCUGCAUUCAAACUUUAUUUCCCUGCCAGAAUUGAUCUAUAGGUGAGACUGACAAUAAUGUUUAGUUGUGACACAAUUUAGCUGAAAGUGUACAGGGUACCCAGCUUUAAUGAAAAGCACAUUAGUAAAUCUAUCAAUGAAAAUAUGUCAAUUUUAAAAUGUACAUUUUGCCUUACUUUGUUAGGUGUAUGCUCAAGCAAAUAUAAUGGUGAGAGUUUUAUUUGUGUUCAGAGCAGGUUAAGGUAAGCCUCUUUAGAACUUAUUGCAGUUCUUUAUACUGUACACAGCUCCUCUGUGGUUUAAUAAAAAAGAGAGUCUCCAUAAGCUGCAAAUUGCAUACAAUGAUUGUAUCAGGAUUCUUCUUUAAAAAAAAAAAACAGCUUCUCUUGUUAUCUGUAUUGAUUUGUACUCAUAUGUAUAUAUGCUCUAUAUGUCAUGUACAUAUGCAGAUAUUUGACUGAACUUGUGGAUAUGUGCAGGUAUAGAUUUUUCAUAGAGGAAUAUGAUUAGGUAUCUGUACAGUUGUGGAUGUACAAGUGCAUAUGUAUCUACAUUUCAAAUAUGUUUCUUUAUUAUUAUUUGCUGGCAUUGGAGGGAUUUGGGGUUUGUUCUUUAAAAUGUGAAAAACUUUAAAUAAAAUAU